rnacentral:misc_RNA from 1 species
UGUCCCGUUUCCUGUGUUGGCUACCUUCGACGGAACGCGUCGUAUCGUUGUCCCUUUCCUCCGUUGCUUUCCUUUUGGGUCGCAACGGGGACCCCGAAGCGAUCCCUGUGUCCCGGGCAGUCCUCGGCGUUUCGCUGCGGCAGCUACGGUCCACGGGUGCUUGCUUGUUCGCUCGGAUGCGGAACACUAAGUGAGAGUGGGAGUCGGCGACCCCCGAUCGCUCAAAAUUGUCCCUUUGACUCGGAAGACACUCGCAGCCGUGCGUGCCAACCUUCGCCCCGGGGCUUUUAGGCGUGCGCACUGCUUGCGAUGUCCCGAAGGAAUGCUACCUGGUUGA